rnacentral:rRNA from 1 species
AUUGAACGCUGGCGGCAUGCCUUACACAUGCAAGUCGAACGGUAACAGGUCUUCGGAUGCUGACGAGUGGCGAACGGGUGAGUAAUACAUCGGAACGUGCCUAGUAGUGGGGGAUAACUACUCGAAAGAGUGGCUAAUACCGCAUGAGAUCUACGGAUGAAAGCAGGGGAUCGCAAGACCCUGUGCUACUAGAGCGGCCGAUGGCAGAUUAGGUAGUUGGUGGGAUAAAAGCUUACCAAGCCGACGAUCUGUAGCUGGUCUGAGAGGACGAUCAGCCACACUGGGACUGAGACACGGCCCAGACUCCUACGGGAGGCAGCAGUGGGGAAUCUUGGACAAUGGGCGAAAGCCUAAUCCAGCAAUGCCGCGUGCAGGAUGAAGGCCUUCGGGUUGUAAACUGCUUUUGUACGGAACGAAAAGCCCCGGGUUAAUACCCUGGGGUCAUGACGGUACCGUAAGAAUAAGCACCGGCUAACUACGUGCCAGCCGCCGCAGUAA